ACCAUCAACAUUACCUUUAUUCAACAUGCUGUCAUUGGACUAUUAUGUUCUGUCUCUACUGUUUGUCUCUACUCUAACAGGAGUCAGCUGUAAAGAACUGAGUCCAGUCAAGACUGAAGAGUUCAGUUCAGAAGGCAGCUCUGUUACUCUGUCCUACAACUACUCCACAAAGGCAGCGAUCAGUGAUAAUUUCUUCUGGUAUCGACAAUAUCCAGGAAAACCACCAGAAUUCCUCAUCUCUCACACAGGGACAGGAAAAGAAGUAUCAGAUCCAGUCUCUGGACUGUCUUUUAAAGUGAGUGAAGAUCAAACCAGAAUGGAUCUGAACAUCUCCUCUGCUGCAGUGUCUGACUCUGCUGUGUACUACUGUGCUGUGAAGCCCACAGUGACAGGAAACACCAAAACUCUGUACAAAAAC